ensembl:lncRNA
UGUCUUCAAAGCCAGCCUCGUUGGACCAAGUCUUCAUCAUGGUGCCACCUCUCUGGUUUGUUUUUUUCAGUGAAUAGACAGUCAAAACACUGUGACACCACUGGAGUUUGAGAACAGGAAGAUCAAGUCUCAAAUCCACAUCCCAAAGGCAAGGGGCUCGGAGUGUCUACAGGAUGAAAAAAAAAAGAAGCAGCUUGGUCUGAGGCAUGGGGAAAGGUGAUUCGGAAAAGGUUCAGCUCCAUGAUGCUUGGGGGACAUACAAGUUUUAAAAUGACCUGGAUUAGUGAAGGGUCCUGCCCUUCCCUUCCAUCUGAGGCUCUCUAAAGAGCAUCUGAUAGCACCACAUGGGAAUACCUAGUGCCAACGACCAGACAGACCUGGGAGAGGACAUCUGGGGUGAUGCCAGCUCUCUAAAUCCUAUUUCAGCCGCAGCUAUUCUCUCGCAGAGAUUGUUAUGGCCCCAGCCUCUUCCUGGGAUGGUUGGAAGUGAGAGAUAGAAGAACAUCUCCCUGGGGUCUCAGCCUCCCCUGAGCAUUUACUGACGGUCAGAAAUCCUUCGGGCUGUACCCCUGAUGGAGCUGUACAACUGUUGAUCUUUGUGAGAAGAUCAAGGGGCUUCUUUGGUGGCUCAGAGGGUAAAGAAUCUGCCUGCAAUGAAGGAGACCCAGGUUCAACCCCUGGGUUGGAAGAUCCCCUGGAGAAGGGAAUGGCUACCCACUUCCAGUGUUCUUGCCUGGAGAAUCCCAUGGACAGAGGAGCCUGGCAGGCUAUAGUUCAUGGGGUCACAAAGAGCUGGACAUGACUGAGCAACUAACAGAUUCAGAGAAUCUAGAAAUAAACACGUG